UUAGAAGAAGCAAAUGGAGUAUAAGUAAGCAUAAGUAUACAUGAUCUUCUCUGGUAUAUGUCUAAUCUCUUGACUAGUGUUCUUAUGAAUUUCAAGGCUUUUUCUGCUAGUUUAAAAUACCUUGUCGUAGCACUGGAACUCUCCAAUUCCGGGGAAUCUCCAGGUCCCGUUGCUCUCAGGGUAUGAUGGGUAUCUCAAUUCUCCACAAGGUCCCAUUCCUACUUGAAUUUCCUGCAAUACAUAAAAUGAUGAUCCAAUUAGCUUAGGUCCCUGUAUUGCUCAUGUCUGAAGUUAAUUCGUUUCCUUUGUAGUCUAAAUUUCUGCUUACCGCAAUAACUCCUCCUAUGUAGCCUUCAAAUCGUUCACGGAAGCUCCUCAUGAAAUCUGAGUAGACCUGGAUAGGUGUUCUUCCUCUUAGGACAGGCACAGAAUCACAUCCCAAGGAGAUAUAUUCAGG
rnacentral:lncRNA from 1 species